CCGUCGUGAGACAGGUUAG
rnacentral:ncRNA from 3 species